GUCUAAGUAUAAGCAAUCUAUACUGUGAAACUGCGAAUGGCUCAUUAAAUCAGUUAUCGUUUAUUUGAUAGUACCUUACUACUUGGAUAACCGUGGUAAUUCUAGAGCUAAUACAUGCUAAAAACCUCGACUUCGGAAGGGGUGUAUUUAUUAGAUAAAAAACCAAUGCCCUUCGGGGCUCCUUGGUGAUUCAUAAUAACUUAACGAAUCGCAUGGCCUUGUGCCGGCGAUGGUUCAUUCAAAUUUCUGCCCUAUCAACUUUCGAUGGUAGGAUAGUGGCCUACCAUGGUUUCAACGGGUAACGGGGAAUUAGGGUUCUAUUCCGGAGAGGGAGCCUGAGAAACGGCUACCACAUCCAAGGAAGGCAGCAGGCGCGCAAAUUACCCAAUCCCGACACGGGGAGGUAGUGACAAUAAAUACUGAUACAGGGCUCUUUUGGGUCUUGUAAUUGGAAUGAGUACAAUUUAAAUCCCUUAACGAGGAACAAUUGGAGGGCAAGUCUGGUGCCAGCAGCCGCGGUAAUUCCAGCUCCAAUAGCGUAUAUUAAAGUUGUUGCAGUUAAAAAGCUCGUAGUUGAACCUUGGGCCUGGCUGGCCGGUCCGCCUCACCGCGUGCACUGGUCCGGCCGGGCCUUUCCUUCUGGGGAGCCGCAUGCCCUUCACUGGGUGUGUCGGGGAACCAGGACUUUUACUUUGAAAAAAUUAGAGUGUUCAAAGCAGGCCUAUGCUCGAAUACAUUAGCAUGGAAUAAUAGAAUAGGACGUGUGGUUCUAUUUUGUUGGUUUCUAGGACCGCCGUAAUGAUUAAUAGGGAUAGUCGGGGGCAUCAGUAUUCAAUUGUCAGAGGUGAAAUUCUUGGAUUUAUUGAAGACUAACUACUGCGAAAGCAUUUGCCAAGGAUGUUUUCAUUAAUCAGUGAACGAAAAGUUAGGGGAUCGAAGACGAUCAGAUACCGUCGUAGUCUUAACCAUAAACUAUGCCGACUAGGGAUCGGGCGAUGUUAUCUUUUUGACUCGCUCGGCACCUUACGAG
rnacentral:rRNA from 1 species